rnacentral:lncRNA from 10 species
CUCCAAUCUAGACACUGGUCUCCCGGAAGGCAGGCAUCCCAUCUCCUCUCUGUUCCCCCAGCACUUUCCACAGAGCAGGUGCUCAUAUAUGACGUUGCCUUCGCUGUCCAGGUGAAUUGCACCGGUAAUUACCGUGGAGCAGGAAGCCAGCACUUCCGGGCUUGCCAGGCUGUCCUGCUUGGAGAACCCCUCUGCUUCCACCUCUGCUAACUCCUCCCCUCCACCCUCUCCGCGGUUCUGUAUCUGCGGAAACCGGUUCUGCUCAGGUGCUUGGGAGGGAGACUCCUUUCUCAAGACUUGCGAGGUCACCUUCAGGUGACUGUCCCUCAAAUCUCCGCAGCAGCUCCAGGACACACUGUGCCCCGAGUCAGGAUUGGAUCAACACACAGGACGCACCUGUGUUAUCACUCCACCAGUAGAGCGGCACUCAGUGGUAGUGUAGACAGUCCUAGGGCAGGGCAGCUUCUAUAACAAGAGGUUCCUUAGGGAGCUAGCGGCCGAGUGGAAAGAGCGGGAGGAACGGCUCGGGCAGGCAGGUCCUGUGCUGUGGUCUAAGUCACUUCCCACGUCCGUCCCACUCUGAUCGUCAGUUUCCUCCUCUGCAAAACUCACUAAGGCGGCCUUCGGGCAAGUCAUCGC